rnacentral:tRNA from 1 species
GCGGGAAUAGCUCAGUUGGUAGAGCACGACCUUGCCAAGGUCGGGGUCGCGAGUUCGANUCUCGUUUCCCGCUCCA